AGUGGAUGUUGACACCAUCAGAAAUAAUUGCUGUCUUAUAUGCAGAGGAUUUAUCUUCAUAACCAAUGAUCUGAAUCAAGAUUGCGAACCAUGGCGCCAAGGUUUAUCCAUUGAUGAUCUAUAACUUACUAUGAUCCAUGAGGACUAAAGAGUCGUAGAAGACAACCUAGUGGAAGCAUCAGGUCUCUUCACAGGUGUUGCAUCUUCUUGAAGAGGGAAUGGGUUACGGGAUAAUGACAUGGUCCAAUACAAUCUACUUCAACCAGCAAUGUCUUUUCUUGGGAGUACCAUUUAUCUUGGAAGAUAUAGAAACGGAAACAGAAUCACCCAGGGAUCAGUUAUGGAGAUCAUGAAUCUGCAUCUCUUCUUGAAGAAGAUGCAACACCUGUCAAGAGACAUGAUGCUUCCGGUGGAUAAACCUUGGUGCCAUGGUGUGCAAUCUUGAUUCAGAUCAUUGGUUAUGAAGAUUUGUGCAGAAAUAAGUCAUUCUUUUUUGUAUGAAAGGUUUUCUCACUUGUUUUAUUUUUCCACCAUGCAAAUCAAUGUUGUGGUUUUUUUGGG